rnacentral:misc_RNA from 1 species
UAGGGUUUGAGUGUAGAUUAUUGCUACUUCAAUGUGGUCAUAAAAUGUUUGGCUGGUUUUUGGUUGCUUUCGAAGUUGGUACUCAAUCAUGGAAUGGAGUUCCCUUGUAGUGCUUAUAGUUUUUCUGUCCGAGGAUUAUUUUAUUAGGUGGUUGCUUUAUCGAGUGGUUUGUUCUUAUAUAUACAUAUUCUGUGCAUCAGAAUUUUACUCCCUGAAUGUUAGCUGUGCCAUUGUGGAGUUUGUUAUUCCUGGAUCUCCAAUUCCAAAUAUAUGAGAUGUGUCCAUGCUCAAGCAAGCUUUGGCAAGAUAACUUUGAAUAGCCUUCCCUUUCAAGAUCUUGGUAGCCAUGAGAAUUCCCCUUCCAGUCCUUAACUUCUCCCUCAGUAUUGUUUAGUAAUAGAGGUACUACAUAAUGUUUAUUAUUCUAAGCUGUGGCAUUAAAGGGUAUC